AAAUAAUUUUAAUAUUUAAAAAUUAGAAAAAAUAUUUUAUUAUUAGAAAAUAAUAUUUUAUUAUAUGAUGACUUAUUUGGCCUUAAUUAAAAAGUUUAAUCCUUAUUUAGCCCAAAACUUAAUUUUGGACUUAUUUGACCCUCGACUGAAAGUAUAGAGGUUUAUUUUGGUCUUUUUUUCAGUUAAAUAUUGAAGAUCUCUAAUUGUAAAAAGCUAAUUCAUAAAUGUUUGCAAUAGCAAUAGCAGUACCAUGUGAUGUCAUAAAACUACAAGAACAUAAACUUCUAAGAAGAAACAAAUUAAUACAUACCCAGCCAAGGCAUAUACGAAUCCUUGUGAUUCUG
rnacentral:misc_RNA from 1 species